GAUGAAGAACGUAGCGAAAUGCGAUACGUAAUGUGAAUUGCAAAUUCAGUGAAUCAUCGAGUCUUUGAACGCACAUUGCGCCCCCUGGUAUUCCGGGGGGCAUGCCUGUCCGAGCGUCAUUGCUGCCCUCAAGCACGGCUUGUGUGUUGGGCCCCGUCCUCCGAUCCCGGGGGACGGGCCCGAAAGGCAGCGGCGGCACCGCGUCCGGUCCUCGAGCGUAUGGGGCUUUGUCACCCGCUCUGUAGGCCCGGCCGGUGCUUGCCGAUCAACCCAAAUUUUUAUCCUGGUUGACCUCGGAUCAGGUAGGGAUACCCGCUGAACUUAAGCAUAUCAAUAAGCGGAGGA
rnacentral:misc_RNA from 1 species